AUUUUUUUCCGAGGUGUGUUACAAAAUUUUGCAACGCACCUCUGAGGUCAUCCGGUCUCUUUUGCUUCCAAUUGUGCAGUACUUCGCCCGGUGACGUCACACAAGCUGGCUCGUGUCACCAUAGCAACUACGGCCGAAGAGGAAAGAGGUCGUGUUACACAUCAGUGUGUAUGUGGAAGUGCAGAAUCAACAACAUAUCAAUGGAAGAACACUCGGAUCCCUCAAGCUACAUAAAAGUCUUUCCUUGAAUUGUGUUACUACUUUCUUCUUCAAGUAAAUCUUUAAAUCUUUAAAGAAAAAAAUAAUAAAAAGAAUAAAAAAAAUAAUGGAUUCUACAAAUAAUUCCAUUAAUGGAUUAAUCGUAGGAGUUGUCGUAGCUUUAAUGCUCACAGCUAUAUUAGGAGGGUUAUUUUUCUUUAUCUCCUGUUGUUGUGCAUUCGCCGAAGACAAUGUGGAAAAACUUAAACGAAAAUUUGCUCCGACUCCAGUUAACAAGAAGGACAAUCAAGUUUACAUAAUUAGCGUACACGAUGUUAAACCACCAAAAAGUUAACUUUAUCGUUAUGUGAAUUAUAUACAUACAUAUUAAGUAAAUUUUUUGUCAACACAUUAUUCUACCUCGCUUAUGUUGUUACUGUUUUUUUUUUUACGAACUGUGAUUUUUGAUUGUUUUUUUUAAACUUGUGAUGUAGUUUAUUAUUAUUUUUACUUUUUUUUUUUUCCUUUUCUUAUUUUUAACAAGACGUGUCGGAGCUGAAUACG
rnacentral:lncRNA from 1 species